rnacentral:lncRNA from 1 species
GAUUUGGUUCCUGUUAUGUUGGACUUUUUCCCCUAGGGAUUCGAACGACUCUUUUAGGGUCGUUUGAUUCCCCAAAUUUGUUAUUUUUAAUUUGGAAUGUUUUCCCUUUUUUUCUUCCUAAGUCGUCUGUUUUCCCUAGAUUUUCCCCAAAAUUGACAGAACUUAUUUUUUUAAGUAGUUUCAUCAAAAAUCACUUUUUGGCAGACACUUCAAAAUUGGAA